rnacentral:rRNA from 1 species
GACGAACCGAGCGAACGUUGUUCGGAAUCACUGGGCUUAAAGGGCGCGUAGGCGGGCCCGCCAGUCUGUGGUGAAAUCCUCCGGCUCAACCGGAGAACUGCCUCGGAUACUGCGGGUCUCGAGGGUGAUAGGGGUAUGCGGAACUAUCGGUGGAGCGGUGAAAUGCGUUGAUAUCGAUAGGAACUCCGGUGGCGAAGGCGGCAUACUGGAUCACUUCUGACGCUGAGGCGCGAAAGCCAGGGGAGCAAACGGG